rnacentral:rRNA from 1 species
UACGUAGGAUGCGAGCGUUGUCCGGAAUUACUGGGCGUAAAGAGCUCGUAGGUGGUUUGUCGCGUUGUUCGUGAAAACUCACAGCUUAACUGUGGGCGUGCGGGCGAUACGGGCAGACUGGAGUACUGCAGGGGAGACUGGAAUUCCUGGUGUAGCGGUGGAAUGCGCAGAUAUCAGGAGGAACACCGGUGGCGAAGGCGGGUCUCUGGGCCAUUACUGACGCUGAGGAGCGAAAGCGUGGGGAGCGAACAGG